UACGACGGGAGCUAGCGUUGUUCGGCAUCACUGGGCGUAAAGCGCACGUAGGCGGCUGUGUCAGUCAGGGGUGAAAUCCCGGAGCUCAACUUCGGAACUGCCCUUGAUACAGCACGUCUUGAGUCCGGAAGAGGUGGGUGGAAUUCCUAGUGUAGAGGUGAAAUUCGUAGAUAUUAGGAAGAACACCGGUGGCGAAGGCGGCCCACUGGUCCGGUACUGACGCUGAGGUGCGAAAGCGUGGGGAGCAAACAGG
rnacentral:rRNA from 1 species